rnacentral:rRNA from 1 species
UACGUAGGGGGCAAGCGUUGUCCGGAUUUAUUGGGCGUAAAGAGCGUGUAGGCGGCCCGGUAAGUCCGCCGUGAAAGUCCAGGCUCAACCCUGGGAUGCCGGUGGAAACUGUCGGGCUCGAGUCCGGAAGAGGCGAGUGGAAUUCCUGGUGUAGCGGUGAAAUGCGCAGAUAUCAGGAGGAACACCAAUGCGAAGGCGGCUCUCUGGUACGUGACUGACGCUGAGACGCGAAAAGCGUGGGGGAGCAAACAGG